ensembl:lncRNA
AUGAUUAAUCGUUUAGGGACACAACCACAUGAGAUGAGGGAGAGAGAUGAGGAGAUUGGAGAGAGAGACACGCACAUGGAAACAGCACAAGAUGGAGGGAGAGAGACAGACAGGGCGAGAGAUCAUGCAAUUGAUGAGGGACACACAGAGACAGAAGAAGCUCUAGGGAGUGAGACAGUUAUUGUGCUUGAAGUUGUUCAGGAGGGAGAGGCAGACAAUGGACAGGAGGAGGAUGCCAACACACAAAGAGGGAGAAAAAGACAGAGAAAUGUUGACAACUGGAAAAAGAACAAACGCAAGAGGUUAAGAAAUUCUGGCCAAAGCUACAUGAAUUCACAUGGCAUUCAGGUCCCAAGAAGGAGGAUGAGGGAGAAGAACUGUGCCUCCUGUCGCUACAAAUGCAAUGAAAACUUCCCUGAGGAAGUGAGGGAAAAAGUAUUUGAAUAUUAUUGGGAGAUGGGAGAUGCAGCGAGGCAGAAAGACUUCAUUGUCAAUCAUGUUGUCAAAAAAGAGAAAAAAAACAGGGAAACAAUCUCACGAAGAAAUCAUACAUUUGAGUAUUAUUUAACCUCAGAGAGAAGACAGAUUAGGGUAUGCAAGGACUUUUUUUUGAAGACCCUUGAUGUGUCAGAGAAAUUUGCACGGUCUACAGGUGGCCAUACCUCUAGUGAAUUGGGAAUUACCCCUUCAAGCAAGAAAGGGCAGCAUGCACCUCAAAACAAAGUCCCUGAGAGUAGCAAAGAUAAAAUACGAGAGCAUAUCGAUUCUUUCCCAAAACUUGAAUCCCACUACUCCAGGAAAGAUACAAACAAGCUCUACUUGGAAGGAUCUCUGAAUCUGCCAAAAAUGUAUGCACUGUAUAAAGAGAAAUGCGAACAGGAGUGGAAGAUUAUACCAGAAAAACAAAGUCUUUAUAGAACAGUGUUUGACAAUGAGUUCAAUCUUGCCUUUCACACUCCGAAGAAAGAUGCAUGUAAAUACUGUGAGUGGUACCAACGUUUAGAAGACAGUGAGAAGACAAAUCACAAGAAUGAGUAUGAUGCUCACCAGUUAAGAAAGACCCAGGCCAGAGAACAAAAAGAAAAUGAUAAAAAGAAAGCAAAAGAGAAUGAGUCAUACAAGGCUGUCACUUUUGACCUAGAACAAGUGUUGACCACUCCCUGGAGCAACGUAAGUUGCCUGUUCUACUCACGCAAGCUAAGUACGUACAACCUCACUGUGUAUGAAUUAGACAGUAAAGAUGUCAAGUGUUACAUGUGGCAUGAGGGGGAAGGCGGCCGUGGAUCUUCAGAGAUUAGCACAUAUGUUUACAAGUACCUUAAAGAACUUAGUCCACAUGUAAAACAUGCAGUUCUUUAUUCAGAUACUUGUGGUGGACAGAACAGGAAUGCUGCCUUUAGCACGAUGUGCCUGCGUGCUGUCAGCUCACUGCCCCUCUCCACUAUUGACCAUAAAUACAUGGAGUCUGGUCACAGCCAGAUGGAGUGUGAUAGUGUGCAUGCUGCAGUGGAAACUGCAAGAAGAAAAGUUUAUAUUUACUCCCCUGAUGGCUACUACACACUUGUGAGAAUGGCAAGAAGGAACGACCCAUACAGUGUACAUGAACUUGAACACAAGGACUUUCUGGACUUCAAGUCCCUCUCCAACCACAUACUCAAAAACAGAACAAAAGAUGAGGAGGGACAAUCAGUUCAUUGGCAGAAGAUUAAAUGGUUCCGCUACACGAAAGAUGAACCAAACACAAUCUUCUUCAAGUAUGAUUUCACCGCCCCAAACUUCCGAAAACUGACGGUGGCACAACAGGCAACAAGAGGCACCAGAGGCACCAGAGGCACCAGAACCACACACCCCAGCUCAUUGUAUGAAAGUCCUCCAGGGAUCAGUGCCUUAAAGAAAAAAGACCUACUCACCCUGUGCACCAAUGGGAGUAUUCCCCACUGUUAUGCAGAGUUCUAUAACACAGUGGGCAGUGAGUGA